ACCGUAUUUAAUAGUGAUCUAAGAGGGAUUCUAGGCCUGGUCAAGGUGCCCUGUUGCAUAAUUCAGACAGCCAAGGACGUGUCAGUACCAGCAUCUGUGGCGGAGUAUUUGAAAACCCAUUUGGGUGGGCGUAGCACGGUUGAGAUAUUAAGGACAGAGGGUCAUUUGCCACAUUUGAGCGCCCCAGCUUUGUUGGCCCAAGUGAUCCGGCGAGCCCUUUCGCGGUGAGCGAUGGCACUGCUUGUAGUUGUGGGAAAUGAAUGAAGAAGUCAAUUGACGUCAGUUAGGUCCGAGUUACUACGGUACAGGCACAGCUACUAAGUGGGGUCCCAAAAAAAAUUGUAAUAAGGUGGAGAUGUUGACACCUGGCGAAUAAUUUGUGGACAUUAGUCCAUUGUACUUGGGAUAAAUAUGUACUGAUGUAAUGAGAUGAAAUGAUAUUUUGGAAAGGAUAAGAAAUGCCCACGUGAUAAUCACGUGAUGAGGGAAUGCUACUUUNCUCGUUUCUUUUUUUCCUUGUUUUCGAGCGGGGAAGUUGGCAGAAGCUAUAAAGAGAUGAAAUGCUGCUAUUAAUUUUUGUACUUUUGGGGAACCCUCCAACAUGGCCUUUUCAGAAGAAAACAACGCCGCG
rnacentral:misc_RNA from 1 species